UAGCUCAGGCACGAUGGGUAGCCGGCCUGAGAGGGUGACGGCCACACUGGAACUGAGACACGGUCCAGACUCCUACGGGAGGCAGCAGUGGGGAAUAUUGCACAAUGGGCGAAAGCCUGAUGCAGCGACGCCGCGUGAGCGACGAAGGCCUUCGGGUCGUAAAGCUCUGUCCUAAGGGAAGAAUAAUGACGGUACCUUAGGAGGAAGCACCGGCUAACUACGUGCCAGCAGCCGCGGUAAUACGUAGGGUGCAAGCGUUGUCCGGAAUUAUUGGGCGUAAAGGGUGCGUAGGCGGCCAAUUAAGUCAGAGGUUAAAGGCCUCGGCUCAACCGAGGUAUGCCUUUGAAACUGAUUGGCUUGAGCGCAGGAGAGGAGAGCGGAAUUCCUAGUGUAGCGGUGAAAUGCGUAGAUAUUAGGAAGAACACCAGUGGCGAAGGCGGCUCUCUGGACUGUAGCUGACGCUGAGGCACGAAAGCGUGGGGAGCAAACAGGAUUAGAUACCCUGGUAGUCCACGCCGUAAACGAUGGAUGCUAGAUGGCCGGAG
rnacentral:rRNA from 1 species